rnacentral:rRNA from 1 species
UACGUAGGGAGCAAGCGUUGUCCGGAUUCACUGGGUGUAAAGGGUGCGCAGGCGGAUCAGUAAGUCAGGGGUGAAAUCUCACGGCUCAACCGUGAAAUUGCCUUUGAUACUGCUGAUCUUGAGUUCGGGAGAGGUCGAUGGAAUUCCAGGUGUAGCGGUGAAAUGCUUAGAUAUCUGGAAGAACACCAGUAGCGAAGGCGGCCGACUGGCCCGUAACUGACGCUCAGGCACGAAAGCGUGGGGAGCGAACAGG